UACAGAGGCCACGAGCGUUAGGCGGAAUCACUGGGCUUAAAGCGUGUGUAGGUGGAUGGGUAAGUACCUUGUGAAAUCCCACGGCUCAACCGUGGAACUGCUUGGUAUACUGCCUGUCUUGAGGCACUCAGGGGCGAGCGGAACAGAUGGUGGAGCGGUGAAAUGCGUAGAUAUCAUCUGGAACGCCAAUGGUGAAGACAGCUCGCUGGGGGUGUACUGACACUGAGACACGAAGGCCAGGGGAGCAAACGGG
rnacentral:rRNA from 1 species